rnacentral:rRNA from 1 species
UACGGAGGGUGCGAGCGUUGUCCGGAAUCAUUGGGCGUAAAGGGCGCGUAGGUGGCCACUUCAAGCGUGCGGUGAAAGUCGGGGGCUCAACCCCUGAUCGGCCGUGCGAACUGGGGGGCUGGAGCACUGUAGAGGCAGGCGGAAUUCCGGGUGUAGCGGUGGAAUGCGUAGAGAUCAGGAGGAACACCGGUGGCGAAGGCGGGUCUCUGGGCAAUAACUGACGCUGAGGAGCGAAAGCGUGGGGAGCGAACAGG